UACGUAGGCAGCAAGCGUUGUUCGGAAUUACUGGGCGUAAAGAGUGUGUAGGCGGUGCUCUAAGUUCGGUGUGAAAUCUCCCGGCUCAACUGGGAGGGUGCGCCGGAAACUGGGGUGCUGGAGCGCGGGAGAGGAAAGCGGAAUUCCUGGUGUAGCGGUGAAAUGCGUAGAUAUCAGGAGGAACACCGGCGGUGUAGACGGCUUUCUAGACCGUAGCUGACGCUGAGACACGAAAGCGUGGGUAGCAAACAGG
rnacentral:rRNA from 1 species